rnacentral:misc_RNA from 1 species
GCAUGGUUUUCUUUAGUUUUGUUUAUAAAUUUUGCCAUGUUUAUGUCUACUUUUACAGCUGUGGCAUUUCUUGUUGCUCUGCAUCAGAACAAACAGUUAAUUGGAAAAGAUGGCCUUCUCCCAGCACAUAAAUAUCUCAAUAACAUCAAGAACAGAGUUGGCGGAAUAAAGCAAGACAUGUUCAUCAACUGUCCCAGUAUUAUCUGGUUGUUCAACUACAACACACACCUGGAUCAGAUCCUCGACUACCUGGCAUACACAGGCUUGGCUCUGUCUCUGUUUGUUGUGAUACGCGGAGCUGCAAACUGGUUCAUUAUGUUGUCUCUGUGGGUGAUUUACCACUCUAUUGUCAGUGUUGGACAGCAGUGGUUCAGCUUUGGUUGGGAGUCCCAGCUACUGGAGACUGGUUUCCUGGCGAUAUUUCUGUGUCCUGUGAUGAACCUGUCCACCGUUCCACAACACACGCCCACAUCACUUAUUAUCAUCUAUGCAUACAGAUGGCUCAUCUUCCGCAUCAUGUUAGGAGCGGGUCUGAUCAAGAUCAGGGGAGACCAGUGUUGGAGAGACCUUACUUGUAUGAACUAUCAUUAUGAGACCCAGCCGGUGCCGAACCCCCUGAGCUACUACCUGCAUCAGUCUCCUGAACUGAUACACAAGAUGGAGACACUCGGCAACCACUUCAUCGAACUUGUGGCUCCAUUCUUCCUGAUCCUGGGACGGAGAAUGACCAUCAUUGGUGGAGGAAUACAGAUCUUCUUUCAGGUUGUGUUAAUCACCAGCGGUAACCUGAGUUUUCUCAACUGGUUGACCAUUGUUCCUAGCCUGGCUUGUUUUGAUGAUCGCAGUUUAAGUUGGAUGUUCUCUCGGCGUUCUCGGUCUGUCAAGUGUCGGGUAGCCCAGAUACAGCACCAGAUGGAAACUGGAAAAUUGACACCUAAACUGGGGGGUUAUAUCAGGAGAGUUUUCAACAUCAGCUUUGGCCUCCUCAUAGCCUAUCUGAGCAUCCCUGUUGUGCAGAACCUCCUCUCAAAGCGGCAGGCCAUGAACACAUCGUUCGACUCGCUGCGACUUGUCAAUACAUAUGGUGCUUUCGGCAGUAUUACCAAGGUGAGAACAGAGGUCAUUAUGCAAGGGACCUCGAGCAGUGACCCAAACGACCCCAGUGCCAAGUGGCUGGAGUAUGAGUUUAAGUGUAAACCUGGCAACAUCACACGGCGGCCAUGCAUCAUCUCCCCGUAUCACUACAGGAUGGACUGGCUCGCAUGGUUUGCAGCUUUCCAGAAUUACCAACACAACCCUUGGCUGGUGCAUGCUGCCUUGAAGUUUCUGAUCAACGAUGAAGGAACAACGUCUUUGAUUGCUCACAAUCCAUUUGAAGGUCGAGCACCACCAAAGUUUAUCAGAGUGGAACAUUACCGAUAUGCCUAUACCAAAAUUGGAAGCAAGGAAGCCAAGUCUGGAGCCUGGUGGCGCCGUAAACACAUUGGGAACUAUGUCCCGCCAAUAUCACUGAGAGCUGCACGAGACAUUGCCAGACAGAUGGACUGGGACAUACCUAGGUUGAAGAAGAAGUAACCAUGACAACGCUCCAGGGGAAGCAAACUGUGUACUAAUUGAUGAUGCCUACUUCCUGGGCGUGAGAAUAUUGUUUAAGUGGAUUUGGUUCUUUUGAGUUAUGCCUAGGGUGUUUUAUCAAAUAUUGUCAAGCUUUUCUUUAAAUCUACUUGAGGCAGAAAAUGUUUGUAAGAUUAUUUUUAAACUUAUUGAUUUUAUAGUUUUACAGAUAAGACUAUGCUACAUAUUUCAAAAUUAAAAAUAAAUUAAUUUUGAAAUAAUUGUCUUAUUAGUGUAUUUCAGUGAAAACAGUUUUAUUAAGAGUAUAUUUUCAGAAAGAACCCAGGUCCAUCUUUGUGUAUAUUUUGGUCUUGUUCUCUGCUAUAACAUUGCUCUGUAGGGCUGGGGAUGGAACAAUGCAAUAACUUGUUAAGUUUUUGGUUUGAGAAACUACAAGAACAGCAACAUUCCAUACUUCCAGUUUAUAUUUAGACUUUCACUAUAUCUCUCCAAAUGUGUUAUUGAUGCGAUAAGAAAUGUUUUGAGUUCCAUGAUCUCACCUCUGAAAAUGGAACCAGUUGAGGUAAUACAAACCUAGAUAUUGAUAAAAGUGUUUGUAUGCAUUGACCAUAACCAUUAAAUGUGAAAGAGCAAUCUCUUUUAUGUACGUACUUGCAGACAACAGCUGACCAAGCAUUUACACCUAAAUGUGAAACACAUUAAAAUACACACACACUAAAAGUGUCAGUUUCUAUAAUUGCUUCUUGGUAAUUCAGUUGUUGAAUUGGUUGUCAGAACUCUAUGUGUUAAAAGAUCGGGAUCCGGUGGUUACAGUGUGCCAACUGAUUGUUGUUGUUCAUGCUGUCGACCACUGAUGUCUCUGUCCCUGACUGGCUACAUGAGAUAUCAGGGAUAUUGAUGAUUGAGUGUAUAAACAAUAUUUAUUCACUCACUCAUUCUGUCUUUUUAGCUCACUCUACUAUUGAUCGUGUUUUAUCUUGUUUUUCUAUGUCGAGUUUAUGAAAACUUAUUGUGUGCGUAAUGUUAUAUGUUUGUUGUUAUAUUUGUUGAUGAUACAGUCCCAUUGUCCCACUUAUGUCCUACAAUAUGUUGUUGUGGUUGAUGGUUAUAAAAGUUGAUAUCAGUGAGAAAAUGUUUGUGUGUGCAAGUGUUUCAGUGAAGAUGACCACAUAUCUGUAAUGCCAAAAUUAAUAGUCUCAAAGCACUUCAUAAUCCACAGUAUAGUGGUGAAGAUAUGGUCUACAGUACUGGUGAUGAUAUGAUCUACAGUACUGAUUGUAUGAUCUGCAGUACUGGUAUGAUCUGCAGUACUGGUGAUAUGAUCUGCAGUACUGGUGAUGAUAUGAUCUACAUUACUGGUGGUAUGAUCUGUACAGUACUGGUUGCAUGAUCCACAAUACUGGUCGUAUGAUCUACAUUACUGGUGAUGAUAUGAUCUACAGUACUGGUAGUAUCAUCUGCAGUACUGGUCGUAUGACAUACCACGCAGAGUACUCAUUGUGUGACAUACGAUACUUGUGAUAAAUGAAAAAGACUUCUGAAACUUCAGCUCUGUCUAAUGAAACGUCUGUUAUCAAAACAGAAAGGGACUUUCAUGGAGUUUUGUCGUCAAUAUAGUGUCCUGGAAAUUGAUAUUGUAAAGUGCUAAGAACAUCGGGUAGUGUUUGUUAGAGUUUGUCGCGAAAUGUGCUCAAUCAUUGGUGUAUAUGUUUCAUCGUCAUAAUUUAAUUGAAAAUAAUGGAUUGAUUCCUGAUGAGCUAAUAAACAACGAUACAAAGAAA